rnacentral:rRNA from 1 species
AGGUGCGAUCAUACCAGCACUAAUGCACCGGAUCCCAUUAGAACUCCGCAGCUAAGCGUGCUUGGGCGAGAGUAGUACUAGGAUGGGUGACCUCCUGGGAAGUCCUCGUGUUGCACUUC